rnacentral:rRNA from 1 species
AAAGGAAUAGACGGGGGCCCGCACAAGCAGUGGAGUAUGUGGUUUAAUUCGACGCAACGCGAAGAACCUUACCAGAACUUGACAUCCAACUAACGAAGCAGAGAUGCAUUAGGUGCCCUUCGGGGAAAGUUGAGACAGGUGGUGCAUGGUUGUCGUCAGCUCGUGUCGUGAGAUGUUGGGUUAAGUCCCGCAACGAGCGCAACCCUUAUUGUUAGUUGCUACGAAAGAGCACUCUAGCGAGACUGCCGUUGACAAAACGGAGGAAGGUGGGGACGACGUCAAAUCAUCAUGCCCCUUAUGUUCUGGGCUACACACGUACUACAAUGGCGGUCAUACAGAGGGGUGCAAAGCAGUGAUGCAGAGCAAAUCCCUAAAAGCCGCCUCAGUUCGGAUUGCAGGCUGAAACUCGCCUGCAUGAAGUCGGAAUUGCUAGUAAUCGCGGAUCAGAAUGCCGCGGUGAAUACGUUCCCGGGCCUUGUACACACCGCCCGU